CCUGGUGUGAUUGUUCCUAUCAAAACUGGGCAGAGGUUAAAAAUACCAACUUUAGUCCAUUUUAUUCUAUUCAGGUUCUUAUAGUGCAUCCAAUAACAUGGUACUUGAGCAACAUAAGAAAAAGAAAAUAAAAAGCAGACCGUAUUAUGUAUCACAAUUCCAAAACAAACGUUUCACCAUCACUUCCUCCCAUUCUUCCUCAUUCUCCUGAGGUGACCCGAGGAUGUGAGGCGAGUCUUGUGCCAUAUCUUGAAGGUCACCAAAUCUGGGGUCUGGCAGACUAGAGGGAGGAAGUGAAUUUUCAUGCCUAGGCUUACAGCUAAAGCUUUCAGUUCUCACCUGUUUUUCUUUAUUGUUAGGUAGUUGGAUUACUCCACCACUGUUCAGAUUUGCUGUACCACUGUACAUUAAUCAGAACUAUUGUUCUGUCAGAACCAAGGAAAGAUCUAUUUGCCGCCAGAGUUACAUGGGAAUCUCUGGAGUAUUACCCAGCGCCAUGUGCUUUCAAAACUUAAAAUGGUCAGAAGUCCCAGGGUUCUGUGGAACGAGAUCUUUGCUAUCCAGGAGAACAAGAGCAUGGCAGAGUUGCUGCUAUAACAGAUUUCCAAUUCGGUGCGAGAGUGGAUGUCACCUGUGAAGAAGGGAGAGUGUCAGGCUGUGGAAAAUGACUUUGGAAUGAAAAAAUCUUAAAUCUCUUUUCCUAGUGAGCUUUCUGUAAACUUCCAAAAAAAAACAAAACUUUUGGACCCUUCUUGAGGAGGGAGGAUCUGUAAAAAUCCACAGCCUGGUGUCUGGUCUAGUAGCAGUUGUGCUAUUGGAAAAGUUCCAGCGUAGCUUUAUGCUGCUGGAACACUUGAGGAGCUUAAUGUUGUCCCCCGAGGAUGCAGGUCAGGCAGCUGUGUUCACCUGUGAAUCAUGUAGUGGAGGUAUGUACUCUGAGGCAGUGUCUCAAGGUUUGUGUUGUCAGCCUGGAGUCUGAGGCCUGGUCUACACUAUGAGUUUAGUUUAAAUUUAGCAGCAUUAAAUCGAAUUAACCCUGCACACGUCCACACAAUGAAGCCAUUUACUUCGAAAUGAAGGGCUCUUAAAAUCGAUUUCUGUACUCCUCCCCGAUGAGGGGAGUAGUGCCGAAAUCGACAUUGCCAUUUCGAAUUAGGAUUAGUGUGGCCGGAAUUCGACGGUAUUGGCCUCCGGGAGCUAUCCCAUAGUGCACCAUUGUGAUCGCUCUGGACAGCAAUCUGAACUCGGAUGCACUGGCCAGGUAGACAGGAAAAGCCCCGCAAACUUUUGAAUUUCAUUUCCUGUUUGCCCAGCGUGGAGAGCUCAAAACAUUUGAAAAAAUCUCCAAGGGCAUGAUGGAGAGAGGCCACAAUAGGGACUCAUAUCAGUGCCGUGU
rnacentral:lncRNA from 1 species